CCCGGUGCAAGAAAGCCGCCCUUAGGGGUUGAAAACUGCUUUUAACCAGGAAUAAUAUUAGUUAGGUGUAAUUGAUUGAAGGUCCUGUAUGAAUAAGGACCGGCUAACUCCGUGCCAGCAGCCGCGGUAAUACGGAGGGUCCGAGCGUUAUCCGGAUUCAUUGGGUUUAAAGGGUGCGUAGGCGGCCUCGUAAGUCAGUAGUGAAAUCCAUAGGCUUAACCUAUGACGUGCUAUUGAAACUGCGGAGCUAGAAUUCUGAUGGAGUGGGCGGAAUGUGUUGUGUAGCGGUGAAAUGCUUAGAUAUAACACAGAACACCGAUCGCGAAGGCAGCUCACUAAGGAGCAAUUGACGCUAAUGCACGAAAGCGUGGGGAGCGAACAGGAUUAGAUACCCUGGUAGUCCACGCCGUAAACGAUGAUAACUGGUUGUCGGCGAUACACAGUCGGCGGCUGAGCGAAAGUAUUAAGUUAUCCACCUGGGGAGUACGAUCGCAAGGUUGAAACUCAAAGGAAUUGACGGGGGCCCGCACAAGCGGUGGAGCAUGUGGUUUAAUUCGAUGAUACGCGAGGAACCUUACCUGGGCUCAAACGUAUAGUGCUUUUACGGGAAACCGUAUUUUCUUCGGACGCUAUACGAGGUGCUGCAUGGUUGUCGUCAGCUCGUGCCGUGAGGUGUCGGGUUAAGUCCCAUAACGAGCGCAACCCCUAUUCUUAGUUGCCAUCAGGUAAAGCUGGGGACUCUAAGGAAACUGCCGGCGCAAGCCGCGAGGAAGGUGGGGAUGACGUCAAAUCAGCACGGCCCUUAUGUCCAGGGCUACACACGUGCUACAAUGGUAGGUACAGAGGGCAGCUACAUGGUGACAUGGUGCGAAUCUCAAAAACUUAUCUCAGUUCGGAUCGAAGUCUGCAACUCGACUUCGUGAAGUUGGAAUCGCUAGUAAUCGCGUAUCAGCCAUGACGCGGUGAAUACGUUCCCGGGCCUUGUACACACCGCCCGUCAAGCCAUGGAAGCUGGGGGUGCCUAAAGUUCGUGACCGAGAGGAGCGGCCUAGGGUAAAACUAGUAACUGGGGCUAAGUCGUAACAAGGUAGCCGUA
rnacentral:rRNA from 1 species